AGAGUUUGAUCCUGGCUCAGAACGAACGCUGGCGGCGCGUCUUAAGCAUGCAAGUCGAACGGCAUGAGGAAUGCUUGCAUUCCUCAGAGAGUGGCGGACUGGUGAGUAACACGUGGGUGACCUACCCUUGAGAUGGGGAUAGCCAUUAGAAAUAGUGGAUAAUACCGAAUACGCUCUACGGACUCUGGUUUGUAGAGGAAACAGGCUACGGCCUGGCUCGAGGAUGGGCCCGCGUCCCAUUAGCUAGUUGGUGAGGUAAGAGCCCACCAAGGCGACGAUGGGUAUCCGGCCUGAGAGGGUGUACGGACACAUUGGGACUGAGAUACGGCCCAAACUCCUACGGGAGGCAGCAGCUAAGAAUAUUCCGCAAUGGACGAAAGUCUGACGGAGCGACGCCGCGUGGAUGACGAAGGCCGAAAGGUUGUAAAAUCCUUUUGCUGAUGAAGAAUAAGCGUGGUAGGGAAUGACCGCGUGAUGACAUUAGUCGGUGAAUAAGCCCCGGCUAACUACGUGCCAGCAGCCGCGGUAACACGUAGGGGGCAAGCGUUGUUCGGAAUUAUUGGGCGUAAAGGGCAUGUAGGCGGUUUGGUAAGCCUGAUGUGAAAUCCUGCAGCUUAACUGUAGAACUGCAUUGGGUACUGCCGAACUUGAAUCACUGAGGGGAAACUAGAAUUCCAGGUGUAGGGGUGGAAUCUGUAGAUAUCUGGAAGAAUACCGGUGGCGAAGGCGGGUUUCUAGCAGAUGAUUGACGCUGAGGUGCGAAAGUGCGGGGAGCGAACAGGAUUAGAUACCCUGGUAGUCCGCACCGUAAACGAUGUACACUAGGUGUCGGGGCAUGAGUCUCGGUGCCAAAGCUAACGUAAUAAGUGUACCGCCUGGGAAGUAUGCCCGCAAGGGUGAAACUCAAAGGAAUUGACGGGGGCCCGCACAAGCGGU
rnacentral:rRNA from 1 species